GUGUCGUAAAAUUCGAUGUCUGUAAAAAAAGAAACAAAAAAGAAAAAAAAAAAAAAUUAUUUCGAAUAUGGAAUGGUGGUCUCGACGAUGUUUUUGUGAUUUCGUAAGUCAUUUAAAAAUAUUCGACAGUCGAUGGCAAAGAGUCGUCGUUUUGAGAGAGAAAGUGAGAGCUAGAAAACACUAAGAGAAAUUGUAUAAGCUAAUUAUUAAAAGAUAUAUAUAUAUAUAUAUGUUCACUGUUGACCUUUUAUAUAUAUAUAGAUUGUCAUUUAUCAAUUUAUAAUUAACAAAAUGCUUUCUGAAUUGUAAAACUUGAUUGUCAAAUAAUCUCCGUAAAAGGUAAUCAGUCAAAAAAUUCUUAGAAAGCGUGCGACUACGCCAGUGUGCAUACUUGCGCUUGCAUGUGUGCACACAUACUUAUGUACUUACUUACACACGUUUGUUAUUUAGCGGCGCUUGGUAAUAACGUGACAGGCAAAGGUAUUCGAGCUAGGAGCAAGGAAUCCCAUUCCGUUUACUUCGAUGAUGGAAUUCCAAUGGCAGAUUUAAUGAACGGUCGCAAUAAAGUUCCGAAAUGUCGGUGGUAAGGGUGAUUACGAGACUCGAAGACGUCGAUCUACGUUGUGUGUGCCGAAGAGGAGAAUUCGUAUUAGGCACAACUUUUACCACUAUUGUACUCCAGUCAUCCUGACGGCGCACAGUAUCGUGACAACGACCUUGCGGACAUCUGCCCACGAGAAAUGGCCCUUAGUCAUCGUAGGAAUGCUGACGGACAUAUUCUCGAUCCACUUCCUGUAUCAGUGAGAACUAAAAAUACCACCACAGGUUUCACCAUUCGAAUCGUUUUGAAAUUACAAUUAUUACAUUUUUCAUGAAUCUAAGAAUAACUCGGAUAAGUCAGAUAAUUAACGCAUCAGAAAAAAGGGCAUCUUUAAUUUCAGUUUUAAUAAUUCAGUUUGAAUGCAAUACUCUUAUCACAAUAAUGAUUUUGUUAGAGAAAUACGUAUACUUCUGAAAGGUUUUGAACUAUUUAUUUAUGUUAGAAACGAUGCGUUAUUUUAACUUUCGAAUAAUAAAUAUUAUAUGAAUGAACGAUGGAAUACAAUUUACAAAUUAUGGACCAUCAGACGCGACCCAGACUACAUAUAAAAAUUAUUCUAAAUAUUCGGUCGAUGCACCAGAGUCAAAAAUAACUUCAAACGUUACUCCGAUUCUCGAUGUGUCUCGUUUCCUCUGUUUCUCUCUUUCUCUCACUCAUCCCAACUCGGCUGCAUUCGCAGAAUUCACAAUAUCUUUGGACAUUACAGACUAUCUCUUGACCGAGUUCCAAAUUGUUCAUAUCAUAUUUGUAUUUUCUUUCUCUCUUUCUCGAAACGAAACAAAAUUUCUUCGAUAUAUGUUUAUAUUAAUAUGUCACGUACAAAGUGAAGGUAGGCUUCGUUAAAUUAAUAUUUUCAAAUUUAAGGUUAUAAAAUAAUUUUAAUUUUAAUUGAAAAGAUAAAGAAUGAAUUUAAUUCGAAAUUUCUUUCGCAAAUUUGUCCCACUUUUUUAAAUCUUCCCAUCGCCAUUAUUAUAAUGCAAUUUAAUACACCUGGAUCUCUUUUUACACGAUUUAUAUUUACACGCUUUUUUAACACGUAUUAUUCGCACGUUUUACUUAUAUUUAUAUGGUAUCAAGAAUAUUAAUUAGUUUGUAGAAAAUGU